GGAGGCAGGAACGGGGGAGGGGGCCUCCGCUGCAGGGCGGGCGGCGGGGCCUGGCUGUGUCAGCCUUCUUCCUGAGGGUUGGCCUCCAGAGAUUUAAAAACGCAGCUGGAGAGCUGGUGCAGAGCUCGACUCCGGAGGGGUAACAGAAGCAACCCGCAGUGCCGCCGCCGCCUCCCC